CUGCAGCCCGAGCGGUGAUCGAUUUUAUUGAGCCUAAAGCGUCCGUAGCCGGACUAGUAAACCCUUGGGUAAAUUGGGCAGCUUAACUGUCCAAAUUCCGAGGGGACUGCUAGUCUUGGGACCGGGAGAGGUCAGAGGUACUCAAGGGGUAGGGGCUAAAUCCUGUAAUCCUUUGGGGACCACCAGUGGCGAAGGCGUCUGACUAGAACGGAUCCGACGGUAAGGGACGAAACCCUGGGGCGCGAACCGGAUUAGAUACCCGAGUAGUCC
rnacentral:rRNA from 1 species